AUUGAACGCUGGCGGCAUGCCUUACACAUGCAAGUCGAACGGCAGCACGGGAGCAAUCCUGGUGGCGAGUGGCGAACGGGUGAGUAAUAUAUCGGAACGCGCCCAGUAGUGGGGGAUAACUGCUCGAAAGAGCAGCUAAUACCGCAUACGACCUGAGGGUGAAAGGGGGGGAUCGCAAGACCUCUCGCUAUUGGAGCGGCCGAUAUCAGAUUAGCUAGUUGGUGGGGUAAAGGCCUACCAAGGCGACGAUCUGUAGUUGGUCUGAGAGGACGACCAGCCACACUGGGACUGAGACACGGCCCAGACGCCGACGGGAGGCAGCAGUGGGGAAUUUUGGACAAUGGGCGCAAGCCUGAUCCAGCAAUGCCGCGUGCAGGAAGAAAGCCUUCGGGUUGUAAACUGCUUUUGUCAGGGAAGAAAUCCUCUAGGUUAAUACCCUUGGGGGGAUGACGGUACCUGAAGAAUAAGCACCGGCUAACUACGUGCCAGCCGCCGCCGUAACAC
rnacentral:rRNA from 1 species